rnacentral:tRNA from 1 species
UUGGCUCAGCGGCAUAAGCGCCUGCCUUGCAAGCAGGCAGUCAUGAGUUCGACCCUCAGUA